rnacentral:rRNA from 1 species
AGAACGAACGCUGGCGGCAGGCCUAAUACAUGCAAGUCGAACGCACCUUCGGGUGAGUGGCGGACGGGUGAGUAACACGUGGGAACGUGCCUUUUGGUUCGGAAUAAUCCGGGGAAACCUGGCCUAAUACCGGAUGUGCCCUUCGGGGGAAAGAUUUAUCGCCAUUAGAGCGGCCCGCGUCUGAUUAGCUUGUUGGUGGGGUAAUGGCCCACCAAGGCUACGAUCAGUAGCUGGUCUGAGAGGAUGAUCAGCCACACUGGGACUGAGACACGGCCCCAGACUCCUACGGGAGGCAGCAGUAGGGAAUCUUGCGCAAUGGGCGAAAGCCUGACGCAGCCAUGCCGCGUGAAUGAUGAAGGUCUUAGGAUUGUAAAAUUCUUUCAGCGGGAAGAUAAUGACUGUACCCGCAGAAGAAGCUCCGGCUAACUUCGCGCCAGCAGCCGC